GUGCAGCAGCCGCGGUAAUACGUAGGUGGCAGCGUUGUCCGGAUUUAUUGGGCGUAAAGCGAGCGCAGGCGGUUUCUUAAGUCUGAUGUGAAAGCUCCCGGCUCAACCGGGGAGGGUCAUUGGAAACUGGGAGACUUGAGUGCAGUAGAGGUAAGUGGAACUCCAUGUGUAGCGGUGGAAUGCGUAGAUAUAUGGAAGAACACCAGUGGCGAAGGCGGCUUACUGGACUGCAACUGACGUUGAGGCUCGAAAGUGGGGGUAGCAAACAGGAUUAGAUACCCUGGUAGUCCACACCGUAAACGAUGAACACUAGGUGUUAGGAGGUUUCCGCCUCUUAGUGCCGAAGCUAACGCAUUAAGUGUUCCGCCUGGGGAGUACGACCGCAAGGUUGAAACUCAAAGGAAUUGACGGGGACCCGCACAAGCGGUGGAGCAUGUGGUUUAAUUCGAAGCAACGCGAAGAACCUUACCAGGUCUUGACAUCCUUUGAAGCUUUUAGAGAUAGAAGUGUUCUCUUCGGAGACAAAGUGACAGGUGGUGCAUGNNNNNNNNNAGCUCGUGUCGUGAGAUGUUGGGUUAAGUCCCGCAACGAGCGCAACCCUUAUUGUUAGUUGCCAGCAUUCAGAUGGGCACUCUAGCGAGACUGCCGGUGACAAACCGGAGGAAGGCGGGGACGACGUCAGAUCAUCAUGCCCCUUAUGACCUGGGCUACACACGUGCUACAAUGGCGUAUACAACGAGUUGCCAACCCGCGAGGGUGAGCUAAUCUCUUAAAGUACGUCUCAGUUCGGAUUGUAGUCUGCAACUCGACUACAUGAAGCCGGAAUCGCUAGUAAUCGCGGAUCAGCACGCCGCGGUNANUACGUUCCCGGGUCUUGUACACACCGCCCGU
rnacentral:rRNA from 1 species